GACGAACGCUGGCGGCGUGCUUAACACAUGCAAGUCGAACGGAAAGGCCCUGCUUUUGUGGGGUGCUCGAGUGGCGAACGGGUGAGUAACACGUGAGUAACCUGCCCUUGACUUUGGGAUAACUUCAGGAAACUGGGGCUAAUACCGGAUAGGAGCUCCUGCUGCAUGGUGGGGGUUGGAAAGUUUCGGCGGUUGGGGAUGGACUCGCGGCUUAUCAGCUUGUUGGUGGGGUAGUGGCUUACCAAGGCUUUGACGGGUAGCCGGCCUGAGAGGGUGACCGGCCACAUUGGGACUGAGAGACGGCCCAGACUCGUACGGGAGGCAGCAGUGGGGAAUAUUGCACAAUGGGCGGAAGCCUGAUGCAGCAACGCCGCGUGCGGGAUGACGGCCUUCGGGUUGGAAACCGCGUUCGCCUGUGACGAAGCGUGAGUGACGGUAAUGGGUAAAGAAGCACCGGCUAACUACGUG
rnacentral:rRNA from 1 species